CUUCAGACUGACCACUGGGUCAGUCCAGCUGUUACUUAAAUAGACUUCUAUCUUCCUGCCGAUGCAGCGAUUCACCAAUCCUGAUCCAGAGCCAUUCUGCCCAGCAACAUGCUGGCCCUAUGAGAAAACUCGGCAUAGAGUACACAACUCUGUGAAUGUCCUUGAAGGGCUCAGCCAGAGCCUCCACCGAGGGUCCCCAUCCAACUUAAAAGAGCAGGGGAGUGAUGGCCGAAAAUCCCAAAAUCCAGCACUAGGCCAGAACUAAAAAUGUGAAAAAAGUGAAAGGGGUCGAGAAACCAAUGGGACAGUUGGAUGAAAGUAACAUUCCUGGAAAGACUAAUACACUGUGGCAGAUCUAUAGUACUAAUGUAUAAAAAAAUAACAGUUGUGCAGCUCCCAAUAUCUGCAAGACAUACAGAGGUUAACUGGAAGGCACAAAACACCCCCAUGUGUAGUAACAAGUAAAUGAAAAACUGAGUAUUCAGUCCUCUAGUGAUUCCUAAGGUGUAGACAAGAGAUGUG